rnacentral:lncRNA from 1 species
UGCAGAGCCCAGGCGCGUGGGUCGGUGUCGGGUGUGUGUGUACGUCUGUGUGUGUAAUGAAACUGGACGCCUUCCUUCCCGGCGAUCUUGACUUAACCUGUCAGCAGAGGGCUUGAGGUUAGACCACAGGUUGAACCUAGGUGGCUGCUGGAGAGGCCUUGAAAUCAUGGCAGCAGCAAGACCCAACUGGGGCAGCAUCAUGUCUGGGUUUGAAUCCCGGUUCAGCCACUUUCCAGCUGUGUGAUGUGGGGCAAGUCAGGCUCAGAUCCCACCAGGACUGCAACCCUUAGCCCUGUCUGGUCUCCCCUGCAACCCUUGAGGCCACCCUGGAGGCUCAGCCAUCCAUUCACCCCAGAAACACUCUGUCUUCCUGCUUUGAGGACAGCUGAAGUCUUGCCACUUCUUCUGGAUGCUCUGACCAUCAGUAAGCCACCUCAGUCUCACCCUCCGCAGAAUGCAGGCCCACUCCGUUGCUGAAGGGCCUCCUCCUUGGGCCAGGGCGCCUGCUUCUGCCAGUGGCAUCAUCACCCCACUCCUCAGCCGCCAGUCAUCAGAGACACGGUCUGACUUUGUUACCCCGGCUGGAGUGCAGUGGUGCAAUCAUGGCUCACUGCAGCCUUAACCUCCUGGGCUCAAGUGAUCCUCUCGCCAAGGCUAGGAUAAGUAGCUAGGACUACAGAUGCGCCCCAUCACGCCCAGCUAAUUUUACAACUUCUGUAGAGAUGGAGUGUUGCUGGGUUGCCCAGGCUGGUCUUGAAUUCCUGGGCUCAAGCGAUCCUCCUGUGUCCGGAAUUGGUGGGUUCUUGGUCUCACUGACUUCAAGAAUGAAGCCGCGGACCCUCGCGGUGAGUGUUACAGUUCUUAAAGACAGCGUGUCCAGAGUUUGUUCCUUCUGAUGUUCAGAUGUGUUCAGAGUUUCUUCCUUCUGGUGGGUUCGUGGUCUCGCUGGCUUAGGGGUGAAGCUGCAGACCUUCGCGGUGAGUGUUACAGUUCUUAGGGCGGCGCGUCUGGAGUUGUCUGUUCCUCCCGGUGGGCUCGUAGUCUCGCUGGCUUCAGGAGUGAAGCUGCAGACCUUCGCGGUGAGUGUUACAGCUCAUAAAGGCAGCGUGGACCUACAGAGUGAGCAGUAGCAAGAUUUAUUGCAAAGAGCAAAAGAACAAAGCUUCCACAGCGUGGAAAGGGAUCCCAGCGGGUUGCCACUGCGGGCUGGGGCAGCCUGCUUUUAUUCUCUUAUCUGG